GCGAUAGGGAACCCCGAGUGCCAGCAUCAAAUGUUGGCUGUCCAGAUGAUUAAAANUCAUUUGUUAGCAAGGGCCGGGCAAGACCGGUGCCAGCCGCCGCGGUAACACCGGCGGCCCGAGUGGUAGCCGUUUUUAUUGGGUCUAAAGGGUCCGUAGCCGGCCUGAUAAGUCCUUUGGGAAAUCUGGCAGCUUAACUGUCAGGCUUCUAAGGGAUACUGUCAGGCUUGGGACCGGAAGAGGUAAGGGGUACUCCAGGGGUAGGAGUGAAAUCUUGUAAUCCCUGGGGGACCAUCUGUGGCGAAGGCGCCUUACCAGAACGGGUCCGACGGUGAGGGACGAAAGCUAGGGGAGCAAACCGGAUUAGAUACCCGGGUAGUCCUAGCUGUAAACGAUGCUCGCUAGGUGUCAGACACGGUGCGACCGUGUUUGGUGCCGCAGGGAAGCCGUUAAGCGAGCCACCUGGGAAGUACGGUCGCAAGGCUGAAACUUAAAGGAAUUGGCGGGGGAGCACUACAACGGGUGGAGCCUGCGGUUUAAUUGGAUUUCAACGCCGGAA
rnacentral:rRNA from 1 species